AUCCAAUCAGGGUUUCACCUCUUAAUCACAUGACGCCGGAGAACCAAUGAAAAUGCUAACAGGAAGACGCUGAACCAAACAUACGUGGGGAAAAACACUUGCCACGCAGGCACCAGCUACCGUGACUGGGGUCACUACCUAGGAGCAUUUCAUUCAAGCACAUAUACGGAACUGCAAAUUGGAACGUGUCGGCACAAGUGUUAAGCUUCAAAUCAGCACCAUCUUCCACUGCCGGCUCAAAGAUCCACCAACACUGUGUUGCAGGGUGCUAUUACACAGAUGACAUCAUCCCACUGCAGCACUCACAGUGCGCGUGCACGCCACUCUUGACACAAAGACACAUGCAUGCACAUGAACAUGCAUGUACUGGUAGAUCCUCUUCAAUAGAUCUCCCUUCCCAACUACUGUACGGGAUAUACAGUAAAGCGGUGAUUCUGCAUAGCCAUCGUUCCACAAACAAAUAUUGUGCAAGAGGUUUUCCAGGAAUUUGAGAGGAACAUGGAGUUGCUCUACAAAACGGUGCCAAAACCCCCACCCCUUCCUCCCUCCUUCCCACCAAACUCACACUAGAAAGUCAUCUGUCUUCCAGAGAGAGCAGGACGUACGGUAUACAUUCGUUCUUGCAUUGAAGAACUGUGACUCACAACGGCUAGCUGUGUGGCAACUUGUGAAUCAACAACAAACACUUUUUUUGUUGUUUUUAUUCCUCACUGCUGCUCUCUGAGCCUUUGUGCAACUCUCUGUUACUCUAUCUUCUUAUCUACGCCGUUCAUUUUAUGGAUCAUUUUAUGAAGGAAGUCUUGUUUAAUGUGAUAAUGGAAUAAAAAUAACUUUUUUUGAAGAAAAAGUUAGAAUAUUACAAGAAUAAACAAAUAUUUUCUUGAU